CGAGUGCGUUCAGAGUUUGAUCCUGGCUCAGGACGAACGCUGGCGGCGUGCUUAACACAUGCAAGUCGAACGGUGAAACAGGAGCUUGCUCCUGCGGAUCAGUGGCGAACGGGUGAGUAACACGUGAGUAACCUGCCCCAGACUCUGGGAUAACCAUGAGAAAUCGUGGCUAAUACCGGAUACGAGACGCGUACGCAUGUGCAGCGUCUGGAAAGAUUUAUCGGUCUGGGAUGGACUCGCGGCCUAUCAGCUUGUUGGUGAGGUAACGGCUCACCAAGGCGACGACGGGUAGCCGGCCUGAGAGGGUGAACGGCCACAAGGGGACUGAGACACGGCCCUU
rnacentral:rRNA from 1 species